CCUACGGGGGGCAGCAGUGGGGAAUAUUGCACAAUGGGCGCAAGCCUGAUGCAGCCAUGCCGCGUGUGUGAAGAAGGCCUUCGGGUUGUAAAGCACUUUCAGCGGGGAGGAAGGCGUUAAGGUUAAUAACCUUGUCGAUUGACGUUACCCGCAGAAGAAGCACCGGCUAACUCCGUGCCAGCAGCCGCGGUGAAUACGGAGGGUGCAAGCGUUAAUCGGAAUUACUGGGCGUAAAGCGCCCGCAGGCGGUCUGUCAAGUCGGAUGUGAAAUCCCCGGGCUCAACCUGGGAACUGCAUUCGAAACUGGCAGGCUAGAGUCUUGUAGAGGGGGGUAGAAUGCCAGGUGUAGCGGUGAAAUGCGUAGAGAUCUGGAGGAAUACCGGUGGCGAAGGCGGCCCCCUGGACAAAGACUGACGCUCAGGUGCGAAAGCGUGGGGAGCAAACAGGAUUAGAUACCCGGGUAGUC
rnacentral:rRNA from 1 species